GACACCACAUUAUGCCUCUCCGAUCUCAAAGAGAUAACGCAGCUAAAGAGUCGGAGGGAUCACAGGAUUGCAAAUGGAUCGAAUGCAAACCAGAAUUCUUGAUGCUCAACAUACUGUUACGGUGUUACCAAUCAAUUGCUUGAAUACUAUCGCUCAGGACCGGUCAUCCUUCCGGACUUGCCGAUCAUACAGGAUCUGGAGUCGCUUUAUCUUUCACAGAUGAUACAGAAUUUUCAUCCUGUUAAUGGAAUGGUUCAUGAUGAAAAUAGGGUUGAGGCUGAUAAUCAAGAUGAACAUUUUAUCAUUGAUGGCUGACCUGGGUUAUACAAUUGAUUCGGUAAAUUGGGCAUUUGAAGUUCAUGGAGCUGUGAGAUCUGUUGGCGCUGCCUUGAUGUAUGAUUGUGUGCAUCUGUUGGGACUACAUCAACUUCGGUUAUGCAUUAUAAUCCGAUAUCUGACAUUUCGAGUAUGAGAUCUGUGGGAAAUUUGAAGAGUCCAAUUGGUAUCAUCAAAGAAGAGCAAAAAAAGGCUGUAUCUGUAUGAACGGUGUGGUCUACAUGUUGAUCGUAUACAAAAUCAAGCGAUAAAACAGAUAAAACGCAUCCUCUACAAAGUGAUGAAACAGUAUGAUAACAAUGCUAUCUUGCCUUCUAUGUAUCUUCAUUUCAUUCCAGACGGCUAUUGAAACUAUUUAUUCUUCAAUGCUCUUUGUUUUUCCAA